CACGUAGGGCGCAAGCGUUGUCCGGAAUUAUUGGGCGUAAAGAGCUCGUAGGCGGUUUGUUGCGUCGGCCGUGAAAACCUGCAGCUUAACUGUGGGCCUGCGGUCGAUACGGGCAGACUUGAGUUCGGUAGGGGAGACUGGAAUUCCUGGUGUAGCGGUGAAAUGCGUAGAUAUCUGGAGGAACACCGGUGGCGAAGGCGGCAUCCUGGACCAAUUCUGACGCUGAGUGAGCGAAAGCCAGGGGAGCAAACGGG
rnacentral:rRNA from 1 species